rnacentral:rRNA from 1 species
UACGAAGGGGGCGAGCGUUGUUCGGAAUUACUGGGCGUAAAGGGCGCGCAGGCGGCUCUGAAAGUCAGAUGUGAAAGCCCCGGGCUUAACCUGGGAACUGCAUUUGAUACUCUGGAGCUUGAGUACGGGAGAGGAGAGUGGAAUUCCCAGUGUAGAGGUGAAAUUCGUAGAUAUUGGGAAGAACACCGGAUGGCGAAGGCGCUACUCCUGGACCGUAACUGACGCUGACGGCGCGAAAGCGAUGGGGA